GUCGUUUGUGAUUCAUCUUCAGCAUGUUGGUAGAGAAUGAGACUCUAAAUCUCAGGGUUGUGGGUUUGAGACCCACGGUGGGCA